rnacentral:misc_RNA from 1 species
AAGUCGUAACAAGGUUUCCGUAGGUGAACCUGCGGAAGGAUCAUUAACACGCAUUGAACCAAUAUCAACAAUCACAACCAAACGGUCAACUAUUUCCUCCCUAUUUCGCACACCGGAGACGGUACGAGUAGGCUAACAUGUUAAUAACAGUUGCAUGCGCAUUUGCUUGCAAGCAGUUAUUUUCAAACACAAGAUAACCCCUUUUAAUUAUAUUAUUCAUUUAAUAUAAACUAACAACUCUUCGAAUUUGCCCUUCUUCGGAAGAACAAAAUCGAACUAAACUAAAAUAUACAUUCGAUAUAUUUUUAUUUUACGAAAUAAUAUUAUAUUUAUAAGAACAACUCUUAGCAAUGGAUAUCUUGGUUCUC